rnacentral:piRNA from 1 species
UAAUUGCUUUGUGCCAACUACUAUGGUA